CAGGGCAUAGCUAAAAUAGAUAAAGCAUCUCCCUUACACCGAGAAGUUGUCCGUGCAACUCGAACUGCCCUGA
rnacentral:tRNA from 1 species